rnacentral:snoRNA from 1 species
UGCCGAUGAUGACCACGCCAUGCUAAUACUGACCGGUUCUUGGCCGGGUUGAGUUCAACUUCUUCCAGUUCUGAGGCAC